rnacentral:rRNA from 1 species
AGUGGCGGACGGGUGAGUAACGCGUGGGCAACCUGCCCCAUACAGGGGGAUAACAGCCGGAAACGGCUGCUAAAACCGCAUAAGCGCACAAGGGCCGCAUGGCCUGGUGUGAAAAACUCCGGUGGUAUGGGAUGGGCCCGCGUCUGAUUAGCUAGUUGGCGGGGGAGAGGCCCACCAAGGCGACGAUCAGUAGCCGACCUGAGAGGGUGGCCGGCCACAUUGGGACUGAGACACGGCCCAAACUCCUACGGAAGGCAGCAG